ensembl:lncRNA
CUCCCCCUCCCACUCCCCUGGUCAACCUCCUCUCCGCCUACACCAGUGCAGAGCGGAUCCCCAUUCUCUGAGAUCAAUCGGCUACCAGCCCAGCUCUCCCAAAUCAUCCAACCUCCCCAGCCCCACUCAGCCCCCUCCAGGCAUGUACCAGUCCCUCCACCAACCCCACCCCUCCAUACUCCAGCCCUGCCUGGCUGACCGCCCUCUCCAGCACCCCCAACACAUGGAACCCCGCCGGGCCCCCACUCUCCACCGCUCCCCCCAGGGCCAGCCAUCUGUCUCCGGGGGCCCCUACAGUGACCACAGCCACUCUCCCAACCUGCCCCCUAUGGACCCUCAGUACUUGUGCAGCUCACAGAGCCUAGGGCCAUCCUAUGGAUCUGAUUAUGGGAGUCUGUCUGGGUCUGACUACCCAGACAGUACAGGUGGUCUGGGGUACGGGCAAACCCCUCGCAGGGUCCUCAUGGAUCCUGACACGGGGAAGUAUUUCUACAUUGAGGUGCCUGUGCAGCCACUGAGGAAGAUGCUGUUUGAUCCAGAGACGGGCCAGUACGUGGAGGUGCUCAUCCCUCAGAGUACCAUGUCUCACUCAGGACUUUACCCUCCUUUGGCCGCUCCCUACUCCACUGCCUCAGCGGCCCCCUACUCUUCCAUCCACAACCCCAAUAUAUAUGCCCCAGCCCCCCAGUACCUCCCCUAUGGCCCCCCUCCUCCUGCACCUCAUCCCCAGCCCCAGCCACCCCGCCACCCAGAGGCUCCAGUCCCAGGGACGAUGCACCAGAAUGGCGCUCAGGUCGGCUAUGGGAGCCCCGGGAGCCAGGGGUCCAAGCCGGAGCCCCAGAGUCAUGCACCUCUGGACCAGAGCUACCUGGAUAGCAUGAACACUAGCCCCCCGGACUGCUACCACAAACAAGCCUCCAGUCUGCCCAACGCGGGGGGGAAGAGGGCCUGAAACAGUCGUCUUCCUGGUGCCUGUAGGGUCUCAGAAUACAGCCAUGCCAGGGUGUAUAUGAGGUGCUCUAAUGUAAGCCUCAGGCCUUGAUGUUAGCUUUGUUUCCCUGGCAACUGGACUGGAGUGAAUGAUUCUUUAGUUGUGGUUGUUUGUUGUUUUUUAAAUGUUUUGUUGUUUAUGUUCUUCGCUGCUUUUUAUUUGCCUGGUUGCCUGAUUAUGUUAGCUUUUCAUGCAUUGAUUUGGUAAGAGAAAAAAACUAUUAUUGUGUUUGAAGGUCCGUGAGGAUAUUUCUGGGAUUUCUAAUGAUAUUUUUCUUCGACAAAAACAAAAAAAUCUAAAUGUUCUACUGGUUACCUAAAAGCCAUCAGGUGUGCCUUAUCCAUUCUCAGAGAUGAUUCAUUCAAUCUAAACAAACACUUACUGUUUGCAUUUACAUUACGUUUAGAUACAUGUUUCAAUGCAUACGUCUAAUAUUUAAAUAAAUUCACCUUGUAUUAAAACCAAUAUCUCCUAAAGACUUGAAACUGCUAUUUGGGAAGAUCUCAUGGAUGUGAUGUUUUUCUCUGUUUAUUAAUGAAUGAAUAGGUUUUGUUCACAAAGAAGCUGCAAUGACACUAAUAAAAAUGUGUAAGAUAUUGAAUGUAAUAAAACUACUGUAG